rnacentral:rRNA from 1 species
AAGGGCACCACAAGAACGCGUGGAGCAUGUGGCUUAAUUUGACUCAACGCGGGGAAUCUUACCGGGUCCGGACACACUGAGGAUUGACAGACGGUUAUUGACUUAUACUCGCUUAAUGGCUUUAAGCUGUUAAGUGUUUAACACCUUUACACAAAGAUGCUAGUCCUUUCAUGAUCGUUUGAUAGGUGGUGCAUGGCCGUUCUUAGUUCGUGGAGUGAUCUGUCUGCCUAAUUGCGUUUCACUAAGGUCCCAUUCUUCAUACGUAUGAAUAGCGUCUUAACUCACUCUUACCGCUACCUAUUUGUAGUAAGCGCUCAUACUAUUGGGACCGGAAUGCAACGAGCGCGACUGCACCACCUAAUUGCCCCUUAUCUACCAUUAAUUACUUUAUUAACCGCCCUGUACGGGCACCGGGGCCUUACCUUUACUGAAACUAGCUGGACCGCUGCUUUCCUUUAAGCCAGAGGAAGGUUGCGGCAAUAACAGGUCUGUGAUGCCCUCAGAUGUUCCGGGCCGCACACGUGCUACAAUGAUCAGCACAAAGAGUAUUACCUAUCUUCUUAUACCUAACCCAAUAUGUUAAACUUAUUGCGUAAGGGUAUUGUCUUAACGACUUAUCCGCUUUAGCGCUUUAAGAUUAUUGGACGGUUAUGCCUGCCUCGAAAGAGUGUACAGGGCAGCAAGAGUAAUGAUUCCCUCGUUUUUACUACUAAUACCGCGCUUGGUAACAUAUUACACUCGAUUAAGUAGGGUCUUUGCUUUUAAUAGCAAUUGCUAUCCUCACCCUUAGGCUCUAAGGAUAUUACUAUCUCUAAGGUCUACAGGGAGGUGUAUAUGGCGCACUUACUUAUUCACGGUGGGGACAGACCAUUGUUAACUG